GACGUCAAUCAGAGAGCCCACCCACUCUGCCCACUCUCUCCUCUUCCUCUUCCAGAGCUGGUUCACUUCCUGUAGGGACUGAAAACCAAGUGAGGAGAUGGUGAGUGAAGGAGCAGCUUUUAUACAAAUUGUUUUCCGGCAGCUACUCCGAGAGUUACUGCUGGUGAGCUGAGUCAAUAAUCAGCAGCGAGGUUCUGGUUUGAAUUCGAUACGUAGAGAGGAGAAGGACUGCACUGUGCUACACCAGAGAAUACAGAGAAGAUAAACAUUGCAAAUAGAUCCUGACGAUUACCCAAGGAAUAACUGAUGAACUGCUGGAAGACAUCCAAUCUCUUCAUAGCCUUGCUGAACCAAGAGGCGGUUGGUCAGUGAAACCACAAUCUGGAAAUUGGUCGGGUCAGAGGAACUUUGACAUAUCAUCAGAUCUGAAACUGGUCAGAGCCUUAUAUCAGAACCAGCCUUUCUGAAGGUUCGGCUGAGGGUGAUCAGUCGGGGGAGGCUGGGAAGAAGUGUGUGUGGCUCCAAGUGUGGUGAGAUCAUUCAUUGAGCCUUAAGAGACUUAUUCCUACAAGUGAGAGGUUGAACCUCUUGUGUUUGAGGUGUACAAAGAAGGUUCACAGUUUGACAAUAUUUCUAGACACACAAGGUAUAUCUGUUGUGUAACAGUUAACACAACUGAAGCCAUCUGGAAAAGAAACCAAUCACAGUUUGAUGCACAAUCAAGGCUCAUGACUAACCGACGUACUCACCUGAGAGAGAAACCAUUCACGUGCGAGGUCUGCAACAAAACAUUCUCAGAAUCCUCAAACCUCCGCAGACACCGACGCAUUCACACAGGGGAGAAACCGUUCACAUGUGACGUGUGUGAUAAAUCAUUCUCGCAGUCAGAGAACCUGCUGAGACACCAACGCAUCCACACAGGGGAGAAGCCAUUCACUUGUGAAGUGUGUGACAAAUCAUUCUCAGAAUCAGAAAACCUUCGCACCCAUCUACGUACACACACUGGGGAAAAACCAUACACGUGUGAGGUGUGUGACAAAUCAUUCUCCCUCUCCUCUACCCUCCGCAAACACCAACACGUUCACACAAAGGAAAAACCAUUCAAGUGUGAGGUGUGCAACAAAUCAUUCUUAGACUCUUCGACUCUCUGCUCACACCAACGCAUUCACACAGAGGAAAAACCAUUCACGUGUAAGGUGUGUGACAAAUCAUUCUCUAACUCAUCAACUCUUUGCAAACACAGACGUAUUCACACAGGGCAGAAACCAUUCAGAUGUGGAUUUUGCGAGAAGGCUUUCACCAACUCCUCUGAUCUGCUGAAGCACCAACACAUUCACACGGGAGAAAAACCAUUCACUUGCAAGGUGUGCUGUAAAUCAUUCUCGGCAUCAUCAUCCCUCCGCACACACCAACGCUUUCACACAGGGGAGAAACCAUUCACGUGCAACAUUUGUGAAAAGGCUUUCACCAUCUCAUCUGAUCUCCUGAAACACCAAUACAUUCACACAGGAGCAAAACCAUUCCCGUGCAAACUGUGUAAUAAAUCAUUUUCACAGUCGACAAAUCUCCGCAGACACCAACGUGUUCACACAGGAGAGAAACCGUUCACAUGUGAGGUGUGUGACAAAUCAUUCACGGAGAGAUCAAAUCUUCACAGACACCAGCGCAUUCACACUGUGGAGUAACUUUACAACUGUGAGGUUUGUAAUAAAGGAAAUGUGAUGUCUUCAAACGUCCUAGGAUAUCAGAGGAUUCACAAAGGGUCGGAAGUUCUUCAGGUUUGGUGUUUGCAACCAGGCUGUUACCCACUCCUCUCCCACUCUCUUUAAACAUCAGAUCUUACAGAGAUAGAUCCUGACCAUUACCCGAGGAACAGCUGCGCAACUGUGGGAAGAUAUACAAUCCCUUCACAGUACUGAUGAACACAAAGAAGGUUGGGCAGCGAAACAACCAUCUGGAAAUCUUUUGGGUCAAGGGAGCUUUGACACAUCAUGAGAUCUGAAAUUGAUCAAUGGUCUGCAGCCUCCCAUCAGCACCAACCUUUCUGAAGAUUUAGCAGUGGAUGGUUGGUCAAGGUGAAGCUGGGAAGAAGAGUGAGUGGCUCCAAGUGUAGAUAAAGCUUCAAUCAUUCAUUCAGCCUCAGGAAUCAUUUCUACAGGUGAGAGGCUAUUCAAAUGUGAGGUGUGUGAAGAGGACUCCAAAGGCUUGUAAAAUCUCCUGACACACAACGUGCAUCUGUGGAGUAACUAUUAACAAAUGAAUAGUUACACGGAAGAGAAACCUUUCAAGUGUGAGUUGUGUGAUCGAGCUUUUAAAUAGUCAUUGAUGUUUCUAAAUUACCGUUGCAUUCAUGCAGGGGAGAAACCAUUCAAAUGUGAUGCGUUGAACCAGAGCUUUGCCUAUUCACAUGGGGGAGGAAUCAUUUAGGUGCAUGGUGUGCAGUAAAUUAUUAUCACAGUCACUGACACUCCUCAUACGCCAACAUGUUCAUAUGGGGAGAAACCACUUAUGUGCAACGUGUGCAACAAAUCAUUCUCAACAUCAUCAGACCUUCGAAUAUACCUUAUAUAUUCUUACAGGGGAGAGACCAAACUGUGGGAAGAGUCAUUCUUGUCAUCAUCAGUUCUCCAUGUGCAUCAAUGCAUUCAUACAGAAGAGACUGGUCAGAUAUAAAGUGUGUAACACGUUGUUCUCACAGUCAGGAAAUCUCUGCACAUACCUUUGCACCCACACAGGGGAGAAACUGUUCAACAGUAAAGUGUCCGAAAGAUCAGUUUCUGCUUCACCAGAGAAUUCAGACAGGGGAGAAACUAUCCACUGGGCCAUGUGCAGUAAAUCAUUCACAAAGUCAUAGAAUCUCCUGUUCCCUCACAGGAUCCACAUAGGAGCGUGAAGGACUUAUCAUGGAACUUUCAUGAUGUCUUCGCUCAUCCAGAGCACCACAGGAUUCAAACAAUGGAGAGAGUCUACAGGUGCAGUGUUUGUGACAAGGUUUUUGUACAGUCAGCAUUUCUCUUCAUCAGUACAGCCACCCGGGAGAGAAACCGUUUAGUGUGACUUUUGUAAUUAAAUAUUAACAGUUUGUAAACCUUAUGGAACAUGAAUGAGUCCACAAAGGAAUGAUCAACCUAUAUUUUUGCCCAUCUUGUCCUCAGAGUGUUUACCAGUACACAGGGUGUUCAGUGCGCCUGGGACACAGAACAAGAAGCAGCUUUCACUCCCAUCAAACACCUAGUGAUGACAUCACCUGUGCUGAAGGAUUAUGAUGUCAGCAAUGGAGCCACCCUGCAGUGUGAUGUCAGUGACACAGGACUUGGAGUAAUCCCCAUGCAGUGAGGGCAACCCAUUGUGUUUGUAUCCAGUUAACACAGACUGAACAACACUGUACACUGAUGGAGAAAGACAGCCUUGCUUUUGAACCUUUCAACUAUUAUCUGUUUGGGGAGACAGAAAGCAAUCUGACCACAAGCUGUUCAAAGCAUCUCUCUCAAACCACUUGUGUUAGCACUAGGGCAUUUGCACAGGAUGUUGUUUUUCUUGCAGAGUCGAUACUUGGAAAUAAAGUACAAGCAAGGGAAGCAGAUGUACAUCGUCAACACACUGUCGAGACCUGCUGUCACUUUCAAGUUGAUGGUACGAAGUGUGAAAUUUUUCAGAUUUACCACAAGAAGCAAUAGUAUGACAUGCUGAAGAGUCAUCAAUCCAGUUGACAUUGAACCAGAUCUUCUGGUCUCUGACUGUCAUAGACUGGAGGUAAGAUUUUGGAGCUGCUCACACUGACACACUGUUCUAUAGCAAAUGUGUAGAAAAUUUGAACAUCUAAUAAGUCAGGACCCUCCAGAAGUUCAGACAGUCCAUCCCUGAGACUUGAGAUAGUUCCAAAGUAUUCGCCUGGAUAGUUACCAGGAAAUUUUAGGCAGGAAGAAACUUUGUAUAUCUGCUGGGUGUCCAUGCAGUUCGUCACACUGACCGUGCAACUAUCCCACUACCACAACCCUCUAACUCCCUGAGAUCUGACCUGAUGACACCAUCACUCCAGCAGACUCAACUGUCCAGCUUUCAUCACCCGACUACCCAUUAAAAACCAAACUUAUCUAAGACCUGAACCACCAACUCAUUCACCAGAUCACCAGGUACCACCUGUACUCAUUCUCUUCACUGCUGUCUGUGUGGAUUCCUGCAAUAAUUUUCUUUUUCAUGUAGAUUCCUGUAGUGAGGGAGUUCAUCUCACUGCUGCAUCAGAGGUUUGAUCAGAAAACCAAACGAGGUAACGGAUAAUUUUCUGUCUAGUGUCAAACACAGGGGCUCUGACUCAGAGUCAAAGGUUUGGGACGAACCUACCAAACCAAGCAUUUACACGAGGUGUAAUUCUUCAAAUGCUAGAGAAAGUCGAGGUAAAAGAAUGGCCUGCAUCCAUGAAGGACAGACAUGGUACUGUAAGAGAGUAAACAGAGAUGAAGUGAUCACCAAAGAUGGUGAUACGCCAUGUACAGAGGAAGAAGGAUCAUUAACCUGGAAAAGAUGAGAAAAGACAUACUGAAGCACAUCCUACACAAACUAUAAAAGAAGUGAGUCUAGUCUAUGGAAAAAAAGAGAAGUGCUGUACUGGCUAAAACAAGAAUGAGGACCACAUCAGCAAGUGCUAUGUUUGUAAUAAACAUCAAACUAAACCAGAUAAAGAGCUAUUCAUGACUCCUGACAUCCCAGACAGCCCAUGGAUAAAGCUUGGAGUAGAUCUCUUCAUUCUCACUGGAACUAUCCUGUCACAGUCAACUGCUAUUCAGGUAGCAGGAAGUUACAGCAGUGACAUCAGUGACUCCCAGUGAGACUGUAGAAUGUCUGAAAGCAUACUUCAGUCAUUGUGACAUUCCUGACAUUGUGAUAAGUGAGAAUGACCGUAAUUCAUGAGUGAUAAAUUCAGACAAUGAUUUGAGAAAUUCAGCCCCACAUAUCAUUUCCACAGUAUCACCAAUAUAAUAGAAAGGCUGAAGAACUGGUGAAAAUUGCUGAAGGGAUAAAUGUGUACGAAGUGAUCUUCAAGUGGAGAAACACACCUACCAAAGGCAAGAAAAGUUGCCCAGUCCAGCAAGUAAUGUCACGUGGUACACAGCUUGCUCUUCCAAUUGAUAAAACUUGACUGAGGUCAGAAAUAGGAACAGGAUUGAGUGACAAGAUCAAAGUGAAAUGACAGAAAGCCAAAUGUUACUUUGACCAGUGUGCUAAAUCAUUGUCAGGAUUGAGAGUUGGACAACCAGAGUGCAGAUGUUCAAUAUGUUCACGAAAAGGCAGCCUGCAUGGUAACUUGAAACUUGUGUGCAGAAGUUGUCACUGUGAUCAUUAACAGUGAAAGGAAACUGUAAGAUCUGUUGUUAAAACAGCAGUCACCUAAAUGCAGCCAGAGAAGGCGCAUCUUCGUUGCAAAUAGAUGAAGAGGCAAUUGAGUGAAGAACCGAAUGACCAUCAGUGUCAGAGGCAAGCCGGCCCCGCAACAAAUGCAAUCUAUCUGCCACAACAGUUAUCACAGUAACAAUGACUUCCUAAGAACACGAUGGGUAUACUGACACCACCAUAGCCUGCUUCAAGAAGCUCACUACCAUUUUCUAAAGGUCAGCUGGGAACUCUGCAACAAAUAGUGGCCUAGCAAGUGAUGUCCACAUCCGAGAAACAAUUUUUAAAAAACCUACCAGCGUAGCCGCUAUAUUCCCCAGAGAGACCGUGUCACCUCAAAAACCAGAAAACAUUAACAUAAACAGCCAACAGUUAACCUAACAGAAGACCUAAACAAUUUCAUGUGUGUAUAGACACAGAAGAAAUUGGAAGAGGUAAAGAAUAAAGUUAUUUGUUCAUUUCAUAAUUUUCUGUAUUGACUGUGAAUAUAGAGUAAUUUUUAAUUAAAUACUUUUUCAAUAUGAAGUGGGUGAUUGAAGUCAGUAUCUUUAAAAACUGUGAAUUCCCAUAUGAUUGUGAUCUCUGAUGUUGAUUGUAAAGAAAGAUUUGAUGGAAAUAGCAAUUUUACACGAAACAUGGGUCUUUGUUUAUGAUUCUGAUUGCUCCAAAUACAUUCAAAUGAAUUUCCAGAAGCUUGAGAAAAUUUACUGGUGAAACAGGGGUGACUCUCAGCAGCAGAUCAGGUGUGGAUUUAAACUUGUCAUUGUCCCAUCUGAAUAAAACCUCAAUGACUUAUUACAGCUGUUGUCCCAGUUCCCCUGGCAAUCAUUUAACAGAAAUGGCUAGUGUGACAGAAGCAUUCUUCGUCCUCAAAGACUUUCAAACUGACAUCAAUGUGGGAUGUGUAGCCUCAGAUGUGUUCAGAUCAGAAGAAAAAGACCCACAGCAUCCAAGGCAAUGAUGACGUGCAGUGGUGGAUACUGCACAUACACAGGAGAGGGGGGCAUAGAACAGAGACGUAUGGGAGUAAUGGGGUCCAGGAGAGAGCAAGGAAGGUAGAAGCAAUUAACUCUUUUCUCCUCCAUUUCUGCCCAAACCACCUCCACACUCUCUUCUACCUGAUCCUGUUUCCUACCUCUGCUUCCUUCCAAAUACUCUAUUUUACAGGCUUUCUCUGUCUCUUUAAUAUGUCCUCCUCCAGCAUGAGAAAUAUGACAGAGGAAUAAGGGCAAAGUUCACUGCUUUGAAUUCCAUUGUAAGU